UGCAGAUGAUGUAAAGAAUAUUUGCUAUCUUAGCAGUCAUGCAGACAACCACCAAGAUCGCUGAUGCA